AUUGAACGCUGGCGGAAUGCUUUACACAUGCAAGUCGAACGGCAGCAUAGGUGCUUGCACCUGAUGGCGAGUGGCGAACGGGUGAGUAAUACAUCGGAACGUGCCCAGUCGUGGGGGAUAACGUAGCGAAAGUUACGCUAAUACCGCAUACGAUCUAAGGAUGAAAGCGGGGGACCGUAAGGCCUCGCGCGAUUGGAGCGGCCGAUGUCAGAUUAGGUAGUUGGUGAGGUAAAGGCUCACCAAGCCGACGAUCUGUAGCUGGUCUGAGAGGACGACCAGCCACGCUGGGACUGACACACGGCCCAGACUCCUACGGGAGGCAGCAGUGGGGAAUUUUGGACAAUGGACGCAAGUCUGAUCCAGCCAUUCCGCGUGCAGGACGAAGGCCUUCGGGUUGUAAACUGCUUUUGUACGGAACGAAAAAGCUCUUACUAAUACUAGGAGUCCAUGACGGUACCGUAGGAAUAAGCACCGGCUAACUACGUGCCAGCCGCCGCAGUAA
rnacentral:rRNA from 1 species